rnacentral:rRNA from 1 species
CAGUAGCCGCGGGAAUACGGAGGAUGCAAGCGUUAUCCGGAAUGAUUGGGCGUAAAGCGUGCGCAGGCGGUUAUAUAAGUCAGAUGUGAAAUCCCCGGGCUCAACCUGGGAACUGCAUUUGAGACUGUAUGGCUAGAGUGUGUCAGAGGAGAGUGGAAUUCCACGUGUAGCGGUGAAAUGCGUAGAGAUGUGGAGGAACACCAGUGGCGAAGGCGACUCUCUGGUCUGUAACUGACGCUGAGGAGCGAAAGCGUGGGGAGCGAACAGGAUUAGAUACCCCAGUAGUCCCUGUCUCUUAUAC